rfam:Myotis brandtii contig178273, whole genome shotgun sequence.
GGUGGUUUUCAAGUGAUGCACCCCAGAAUCGGGCUCCCUCCUCUCUGGUUCCGGGAUGUGUCACCCAAGAACCAUC